rnacentral:rRNA from 1 species
AACGAACGCUGGCGGCAUGCCUAACACAUGCAAGUCGAACGAUGCCUUCAGGCAUAGUGGCGCACGGGUGCGUAACGCGUGGGAAUCUGCCUUUCGGUUCGGAAUAACUCAGGGAAACUUGAGCUAAUACCGGAUAACGUCGCAAGACCAAAGAUUUAUCACCGAAAGAUGAGCCCGCGUAGGAUUAGCUAGUUGGUGAGGUAAAGGCUCACCAAGGCGACGAACCUUAGCUGGUCUGAGAGGAUGAUCAGCCACACUGGGACUGAGACACGGCCCAGACUCCUACGGGAGGCAGCAGUGGGGAAUAUUGGACAAUGGGCGAAAGCCUGAUCCAGCAAUGCCGCGUGAGUGAUGAAGGCCUUAGGGUUGUAAAGCUCUUUUACCCGGGAAGAUAAUGACGGUACCGGGAGAAUAAGCCCCGGCUAACUCCGUG